AGCCACCCCCUAGCCCAGCCACCAUGCACAACCAAACAUUAAAAAGCUACUAAUCCUGAAGACUAAAACAUUUUAACAACCCAGUAUAGGCGAUAGAAAAGAACUACCUGGCGCAAUAGUAAGCCCGUACCGUAAGGGAAAGAUGAAAUAACAAUGAAACUCUAAGCUAUAAACAGCAAAGACUAACCCUUGUACCUUUUGCAUCAUGAUUUAGCAAGAACAACCAAGCAAAACGAAUUUAAGCUUGCCCCCCCGAAACCCAAGCGAGCUACUUGCAAGCAGCUGUUCCGAGCGAACCCGUCUCUGUUGCAAAAGAGUGGGAUGACUUGUCAGUAGUGGUGAAAAGCCAACCGAGCUGGGUGAUAGCUGGUUGCCCGUAAAAUGAAUUUAAGUUCACCCUUGGCCCCCUCCAAAACGGACACCCGCCCACCCCCAUGUAGCUGGCCAAGAGUUAUUUAAAGGAGGUACAGCUCCUUUGAAAGAGAACACAACCUCUCCUAGCGGGUAAGUCAUCCACUCGACCAACCUGUGGGCCUUCAAGCAGCCAUCAACAAAGAGUGCGUCAAAGCUCCCUAUCAAAAAUACUGCAAUAACACAACCCCCUUGACUUCUAAUGGGCCAACCUAUACCAAUAGAAGAAUUAAUGCUAAAAUGAGUAACUUAGGACCAUCCUCCUCUACUGGCGCAAACUUACAUCCACACAUUAUUAACAUACACCAAAAUACCCAAACCUUAACAAGAACUUGUAUUUUCUGCCAUGUUGACCCAACCCAGGAGCGCUAGCCAGAAAGAUUAAAAUCUACAAAAGGAACUAGGCAAACCCGAGGCCCGACUGUUUACCAAAAACAUAGCCUCCAGCCAAACAAGUAUUGGAGGUGAUGCCUGCCCAGUGACACCAUGUUCAACGGCCGCGGUAUCCUAACCGUGCGAAGGUAGCGCAAUCAAUUGUCUCAUAAAUCGAGACCUGUAUGAAUGGCUAAACGAGAUCUCAACUGUCUCUUGUAGAUAAUCAGUGAAAUUGAUCCCCCCGUGCAAAAGCGAGGAUAAUACCAUAAGACGAGAAGACCCUGUGGAACUUAAAAAUCAACAAUCACCUCUUCGGCUCAUAAACCUACCCAGGCCCACCACCCAGAGAACACUGAUUGACAUUUUUUGGUUGGGGUGACCUUGGAGAACAACAAAACCUCCAAAAACAAGACUAUAAAUCUUAACCCAGAGCGACCCCUCGAAGUACUAAUAGUGACCAGACCCAGCACUAAUCUGACCAAUGGACCAAGCUACCCCAGGGAUAACAGCGCAAUCCCCUCCAAGAGCCCCUAUCGACGAGGGGGCUUACGACCUCGAUGUUGGAUCAGGACAUCCUAAUGGUGCAGCCGCUAUUAAGGGUUCGUUUGUUCAACGAUUAACAGUCCUACGUGAUCUGAGUUCAGACCGGAGCAAUCCAGGUCGGUUUCUAUCUAUGAUUAACUUUCCCUAGUACGAAAGGACCGGAAAAGUAAGGCCAAUGCAACAUAAUACGCCUUCCCCCCUAAGUAAUGAACACAACUAAAUUACGAACUGGGGCCCCCCACCGCCCUAGAUAAGGGCC
rnacentral:rRNA from 1 species